rnacentral:tRNA from 1 species
ACCUUCGUGGUGUUGUGGUCAGCACGCUCGACGCGUAUUCGAGAGGUCCGUGGUUCGAGUCCCGGCGAGGGCA